CGGGCUCUUCGGAGCUAGUGGCGGACGGGUGAGUAACGCGUGAGAAUCUGCCUUCAGGAGGGGGAUAACGACUGGAAACGGUCGCUAAUACCCCAUAUGCCUCCGGGUGAAAAGUAAUUCGCCUGAAGAUGAGCUCGCGUCAGAUUAGCUAGUUGGUGGGGUAAGAGCCUACCAAGGCGACGAUCUGUAGCUGGUCUGAGAGGAUGAUCAGCCACACUGGGACUGAGACACGGCCCAGACUCCUACGGGAGGCAGCAGUGGGGAAUUUUCCGCAAUGGGCGCAAGCCUGACGGAGCAAGACCGCGUGGGGGAUGACGGCCUAAUGGUUGUAAACCCCUUUUCUCUGGGAAGAAGACUGACGGUACCAGAGGAAUCAGCCUCGGCUAACUCCGUGCCAGCAGCCGCGGUAAUACGGAGGAGGCAAGCGUUAUCCGGAAUUAUUGGGCGUAAAGCGUCCGUAGGUGGUUAUUCAAGUCUGCUGUCAAAGCGUGGGGCUUAACUCCAUAGAGGCAGUGGAAACUGAGUGACUAGAGUGCGGUAGGGGUCGAGGGAAUUCCCAGUGUAGCGGUGAAAUGCGUAGAUCUUGGGAAGAACACCAGUGGCGAAAGCGCUCGACUGGGCCUGCACUGACACUGAGGGACGAAAGCUAGGGGAGCGAAAGGGAUUAGAUACCCCUGUAGUCCUAGCCGUAAACGAUGGAUACUAGGUGUUGCUCGUCAUCGACCCGAGCAAUGCCGUAGCCAACGCGUUACGUAUCCCGCCUGGGGAGUACGCUCGCAAGAGUGAAACUCAAAGGAAUGACGGGGGGCCGCACAAGCGGUGGAGUAUGUGGUUUAAUUCGAAUGCAACGCGAAGAACCUUACCAGGGCUUGACAUGUCCGGAACCUUGCCGAGAGGUGAGGGUGCCUUCGGGAGCCGGAACACCAGGUUGUGCAUGGGUGACGUCAGCUCGUGUCGUGAGAAUGUUGGGUUAAGUCCC
rnacentral:rRNA from 1 species